AGAGUUUGAUCAUGGCUCAGGAUGAACGCUGGCGGCGUGCUUAACACAUGCAAGUCGAACGGUGAAGCAGAGCUUGCUCUGUGGAUCAGUGGCGAACGGGUGAGUAACACGUGAGCAAUCUGCCCCUGACUCUGGGAUAAGCGCUGGAAACGGCGUCUAAUACCGGAUACGAGCUGCGACCGCAUGGUCAGUAGCUGGAAAGAAUUUCGGUCAGGGAUGAGCUCGCGGCCUAUCAGCUUGUUGGUGAGGUAAUGGCUCACCAAGGCGUCGACGGGUAGCCGGCCUGAGAGGGUGACCGGCCACACUGGGACUGAGACACGGCCCAGACUCCUACGGGAGGCAGCAGUGGGGAAUAUUGCACAAUGGGCGCAAGCCUGACGCAGCAACGCCGCGUGAGGGAUGACGGCCUUCGGGUUGUAAACCUCUUUUAGCAGGGAAGAAGCGAAAGUGACGGUACCUGCAGAAAAAGCGCCGGCUAACUACGUGCCAGCAGCCGCGGUAAUACGUAGGGCGCAAGCGUUAUCCGGAAUUAUUGGGCGUAAAGAGCUCGUAGGCGGUCUGUCGCGUCUGCUGUGAAAACCCGAGGCUCAACCUCGGGCCUGCAGUGGGUACGGGCAGACUAGAGUGCGGUAGGGGAGAUUGGAAUUCCUGGUGUAGCGGUGGAAUGCGCAGAUAUCAGGAGGAACACCGAUGGCGAAGGCAGAUCUCUGGGCCGUAUCUGACGCUGAGGAGCGAAGGGUGGGGAGCAAACAGGCUUAGAUACCCUGGUAGUCCACCCCGUAAACGUUGGGAACUAGUUGUGGGGUCCAUUCCACGGAUUCCGUGACGCAGCUAACGCAUUAAGUUCCCCGCCUGGGGAGUACGGCCGCAAGGCUAAAACUCAAAGGAAUUGACGGGGACCCGCACAAGCGGCGGAGCAUGCGGAUUAAUUCGAUGCAACGCGAAGAACCUUACCAAGGCUUGACAUAUAGAGGAAACGUCUGGAAACAGUCGCCCCGCAAGGUCUCUAUACAGGUGGUGCAUGGUUGUCGUCAGCUCGUGUCGUGAGAUGUUGGGUUAAGUCCCGCAACGAGCGCAACCCUCGUUCUAUGUUGCCAGCACGUAUGGUGGGAACUCAUGGGAUACUGCCGGGGUCAACUCGGAGGAAGGUGGGGAUGACGUCAAAUCAUCAUGCCCCUUAUGUCUUGGGCUUCACGCAUGCUACAAUGGCCGGUACAAAGGGCUGCAAUACCGUGAGGUGGAGCGAAUCCCAAAAAGCCGGUCCCAGUUCGGAUUGAGGUCUGCAACUCGACCUCAUGAAGUCGGAGUCGCUAGUAAUCGCAGAUCAGCAACGCUGCGGUGAAUACGUUCCCGGGUCUUGUACACACCGCCCGUCACACACGGUACCAUA
rnacentral:rRNA from 1 species